rnacentral:tRNA from 1 species
GGAGAGGUGUCGGAGUGGCUUAUCGAGCCGGUUUCGAAAACCGGUGUGCUCCCUUAGGAGUACCGGGGGUUCGAAUCCCCCCCUCUCCG